GGCGGCUCGCGCCACUCACCGAAUGUUCUGGAAGCAUCAGGAUCACCAGCUGCAGCAGCGCGGCGGCGGCGGCCGUACCCGUACCGCCGCUCAGGCUCUUCAUGACAGCCGCUCGGGAUCCCCACGGCAAAAACUGAGAGCAAUAUGCGGGAGCGGCAGCGAACUGGUGGUGGGCAUGCCGUGCUGCAGCGCCUCACCACUAUGAGGAGCAGGCCAUGGAGCUGGGGAGGAGGCAGGUGGCCAGCAUCACCACCGCAUGGCCGCCAACAACACGUCCAGAGCACCCCCCUCCACACCUGAGGGCCAAGACUCGCAACUUGCAUCACACCCUUUCAGCGAACCAGGCACCAGCGCAGCGACAAACAUUUUGGUGGGGAUUAUUACGUCGGCUAGUGUCCUGGGGCACAGUGGAGGAGAUGGCACAGACAGAGAGUGCCAAUGGCGCCAGCAGCCAGAGGACUGCAGGGACCAGGCACAUGCUGAGUCCGGCAGUGAUGAUGUGCCUCUGGAGAUGUCAGCCAUGCAGCAGCUGCAGGACAAGUGGCAGGGUGGGUGGAAGCAUCUGGCAGGGUUGCAUGAGGGUGUGUUUCAUUUGGCCUCUGUGGUGGAGGUGUCCAGGCAGAAUGUCAGUGACUGAGCUGGCCAAGUCCUAAAGGACAUAGCUGCUAGACUGGGUCUACAGCAGGUGGUGAAGGAACCAACAUGAGGGAAAAAAAUACUUGACCUCAUCCUCGCCAACCUGCCUGCCAUGACAGUAUCGGUAGGAGUGACCACCACACAGUUGUUGUGGAGAUGAAAUCCCGCUUUCACUCAUUGCAGAUACCCCCAGCGUGUUGUGUGGCACUACCACUGUGCUAAAUGGGAUAGAUUUCGAACAGAUCUAGCAGUUCAAGACUGGGCAUCCAUGAGGUGCCAUGAGGGCCAUUAUCAGCAGCAGAAUUGCACCCGAACACA